UCCCUGGUAGCUCAGCGGUUAAAGCGUCUGCCUGCAAUGCGGGAGACCCGGGUUCGAUCCCUGGGUUGGGAA
rnacentral:tRNA from 1 species